UAAGACGAAGGUGGCGAGCGUUGUUCGGUGUUACUGGGCUUAAAGCGUGUGUAGGCGGAAUAGCAAGCGUCUUGUGAAAUCCCUCAGCUUAACUGAGGAAUUGCUCGGCGAACUACUAUUCUUGAGGCAAGUAGGGGUGCAUGGAACUCUUGGUGGAGCGGUGGAAUGCGUAGAUAUCAAGAGGAACGCCGAUGGAGAAAUCAGUGCACUGGGCUUGUCCUGACGCUGAGACACGAAAGCGUGGGGAGCAAACGGGAUUAGAUACCCCGGUAGUCCACGCCGUAAACGAUGUCUACUAGGUUGUGGGGAUUCUGACAUUCUCGCGACCGAAGCUAAAGUGUUAAGUAGACCGCCUGGGGAGUACGGUCGCAAGGCUA
rnacentral:rRNA from 1 species